ensembl:misc_RNA Y_RNA Y RNA
GGCUGGUGCGAUGGCAGUAGGUUAUCAGAACUUAUUAACAUUAGUGUCACUAAUGUUGGUAAUGUUGGUAUACCACCCCCGCACUGCUAAAUUUGACUGGCUUUAA